AUGAUAGGCACAGACAGGAUUUUUACAACCAUUAAUCUGUCUUCACUGUCAAACACAGCAGCUGCUUUAUCCUCAGCAAAAAUCUUUAGCACAGUUCUGUCGCUCAGUCUGCUGCCCCAAAGGACCUUGUUCUUCAGCCACAGCUGGAAGGACAGAUUUGCCUUUCAGAAUUCCAGGCAGCAACUUCUUUUUUUUUUUUUUUUUUUUAAAUAGUUCAUCCCUUUUUGAUAUCAGCUGCUUUUUCUCUGUGGGAAAGAUACUAUCUUCUUGACAUGCUAGAGUAAGACUGCACAUCAACGUAUGGAGAAUGGAAUGAAAGUGUAGUGUCAGCAAUGACGUUUUUGACCCAACCCACUAUUUAUAUCCCCAACAGUCAUGCAAACCUUGCCCAUUAUACACUAGGGCAUGCUGCCUCCGUGUGGCAGAAUAUGCUUCAGACAUUCUUUUCUCUUGCAUUUCACACAAUCUUGUGUGUGGCUAUGAAUUUUGGGAACAGUUUUGGAAACAGAAGGAAUAGAACCCAUAAGUUAUUUCUGUGAGAAACGGCAAUAUGGGGAUGAAAAAAAUUAAUGAAUUAUAUUGAUAACAGUGUUUUUCACACGAAUACUCACCAGGAACACACAGUAAAGUACAAAGGCUAUAUAUAUAUAUAUAUGUGCAUAUAUAUAUAAAAAGAAUGCUUUCUCAAAUGUUUAUUACACGAUGAAAGAAGACUAAUUGAAAAAAAUUCACAUCUUGGACUUGAUCAAAGGGGACUGAUUGCUCUUCAGACCUGUUAGCUAAAAGCAAGAUUGAAAGAGCAAUUUUGAAAAAUUACAUAAGACUGGAUCACAUUCUUUUUUUCAGUUCAUAACUGGUUUGGUUCAAACUUGACUAGAGGACCAUAAAAGUUGCUUUAGCAUUAGACCAGCUCUCUGAUUCAAGUAGCACUAACACUGUAUUAUGGGUACAGGGUUUUUCCCAUGACUAAAAUGGAAAUGCUUUGUGAAAUCGGUAUAUUUUCUUCCACACCACACUCAUCCCCACCCCAAAGCCCCAACCUCCACCUACUUUACCAAUGUUGUUAGAUACAAGACCUAAAGAAGAUAAAAAACAAGACAAUUACUGUUUUGCCCAUUUGUGUCUUUACAUUUCAGUCUUUACCAGCUGACCACAAUUGCAUUCCACCUCACUGUGAACAAGGUCUUCAUAUGUUAUUUCCAGACUGGAAAGA
rnacentral:lncRNA from 1 species